AGGUACGCCCAUCCUUGGCGGACCGGUUCAUUGUCGCACCAAUUGGUAAAAAGCAUCCACGUGAAGAUAAUUGCACGAAGUCUGAUGAUGAAACUCAAGAUGCUGCCCAUGAAGAUGAACAGACAUCUCGAGUGAGGGAUUGGAUAAAUUCUGGGCACAACUCCACAAUUGAUCUGGCAGAUAUACUUGCAAAUUUUCCAGACAUAUCACUGGUA